AGUGUGAUAACUGGGUCAAGUGGUGGUUCCAUUCCAAGUCUUCAAAGCAAUCUCCAUACUGCUUUGCAUAGUGGUUGUACCAAUUUGCAAUCCCACCAAUAAU
rnacentral:pre_miRNA from 1 species